UAAGAAAACUCGUUUGUUCCA
rnacentral:piRNA from 1 species